UACGUAGGGUGCAAGCGUUAAUCGGAAUUACUGGGCGUAAAGCGUGCGCAGGCGGUCUUGCAAGACAGGUGUGAAAUCCCCGGGCUUAACCUGGGAACUGCAUUUGUGACUGCAAGGCUAGAGUACGGUAGAGGGGGAUGGAAUUCCGCGUGUAGCAGUGAAAUGCGUAGAUAUGCGGAGGAACACCGAUGGCGAAGGCAAUCCCCUGGACCUGUACUGACGCUCAUGCACGAAAGCUAGGGGAGCAAACGGG
rnacentral:rRNA from 1 species